rnacentral:lncRNA from 1 species
GGGAAAGACUGCCUAACAAUUGUUUUUGAAACAAUUGCUUUAUAUUUAUUAUUAUUAUUAUUAUUUUUUUUUUCCGCCAAAUUUUGUUCUUGCGAUAAAUGUUUGUUUCGCAAUAUGUCGCUUAGAUAUUUCUCAUAUUGUAUCGUAUAGUUUAUGCGCUUUUAAAUUUCACCCUGCUAAGCGGAACCUUUAUCUUUGUAAGAGUUAUCUCCCUAUUUACUGUUUAUCAUCUGUGUGCAUCUCCUUCGUAACAAAAAAAGAUAUCGACAAAUUUCUUUUUCUAACUUGUUCGUUACAUCCGCAGGAAUAUUUGGCUAAUUUGGAUCGAAGCGAUGCGAUGAAAUUUUAUAGGAGUUAUCUACCUUUACAAAAUAAAUUUGUCGUUAUGUUUAUAUAACUCAUAAACAGUUAACCGUAUAACCCUGGAAUGUUUUUCUUUGAGUCCCCUAGGUCCCAACUUAGAAAAUGAGGUCAAGGUCAAGGUCAAGUUUCAAUUGUGAUUUGCUUGUUUUGCAUUUCUCCCUCACUUUGAGAGAUACAUAUGAAAGAACAAGUGCUAAAUGUUGCUUAAUUGUAUGAAGAUAUGCUACAUUUAGUCUAUACAAUUAAAUGAUCUUUAUAGGAGUUUGUGCCCCUGAAAUGUCUUGAUAUGAGUUAUUUGAUUAUAACUUCAAUAAGUUCAUUAUAAAGACAUUUGACCUCAUACAAAAGGAUAAGUGACACUGACCUUGAAAAAUGGCUACCGGAAGUGACCUUAGAAAACGGAAGUAGCUUUUUUUGCAGUUUUUUCACAUCCAAGUACUCAGAUUCAAUAUAUUUUGUCAUAUAGAUACAUGAACAGAUUACUGAAGACUAAAAAUGACUUCCAACAAACCGGAAGUGGCCAAUUAUCUCCCAUUCCACAUACAAAAUGAUAUAGAAACUAUAUAUUUUUGGAAUCAGUGUGAAAGAAGCUAUCAUAUGAGACCGGAUGUGACAUUCUUUUCACCGGAAGUAGCAUAUUAUCUCCCUUAUAUCACUCAAAAAGAUAAUUAAACCAUCAUUUAUCGCAUCAGUAUGAAGAAACUACCUUCUUAUCCAAAUUUCUUUGGUGUGGAAAGACUUUCAAUUGUUCUCUGAACAAUUGGUUUUUAAUAUUAUUAUUUUUUUUUUUUUUUUCCGCCAAAUUUUGUUCUUGCGAUAAAUGUUUGUUUCGCAAUAUGUCGCUUAGAUAUUUCUCAUAUGGUAUCGCUAUAGUUUAUGCGCUUUUAAAUUUCACCCUCUAACGACCAUUUUCUUUGUAAGAGUUAUCUCCCUAUUCACUGUUAUCAUCUGUGUGCAUCUUCUUCGUAACAAAAAAAGAUAUCGACAAAAUUCUUUUUACAAAUUGUUCGUUACAUCCUCAGGAAUUUUUGGCUCAUUUGGGUCGAAGCGAUUCGCUGAAAUUUUAUAGGAUUAUCUACCUUUACAAAAUAAAUUUGUCGUUAUGUUUUUUAACUCAAAACAGUUAACCGUAUAACCCUGGAAUGUUUUUAUUUGAGUCCCCUAUGUCCUAACUUAGAAAAUGAGGUUCAAGGUCAAAGGUCAAGGUCAAG